rnacentral:misc_RNA from 1 species
GGCGGAGCGGAGCCCCGCCCUGGGUUAUGUAAGCGACCGCGCUGGGCCGUUUCUCUUUCUUUUCCGGACCCUGCAGUGGCGCCUAAAGUCUGAGAGAGGGAAGUCGCCUCUGUGCUGAGCCCCACAGUCUUCGUUAUAACCUCACGGUGCUGUCCUGGGAUGGAUCUGUGCAGUCAGGGUUUCUUGCUGAGGUACAUCUGGAUGGUCAGCCCUUCCUGCGCUAUGACAGGCAGAAAUGCAGGGCAAAGCCCCAGGGACAGUGGGCAGAAGAUGUCCUGGGAAAUAAGACAUGGGACAGAGAGACCAGGGACUUGACAGGGAACGGAAAGGACCUCAGGAUGACCCUGGCUCAUAUCAAGGACCAGAAAGAAGGCUUGCAUUCCCUCCAGGAGAUUAGGGUCUGUGAGAUCCAUGAAGACAACAGCACCAGGAGCUCCCAGCAUUUCUACUACGAUGGGGAGCUCUUCCUCUCCCAAAACGUGGAGACUGAGGAAUGGACAGUGCCCCAGUCCUCCAGAGCUCAGACCUUGGCCAUGAACGUCAGGAAUUUCUUGAAGGAAGAUGCCAUGAAGACCAAGACACACUAUCACGCUAUGCAUGCAGACUGCCUGCAGGAACUACGGCGAUAUCUAGAAUCCAGCGUAGUCCUGAGGAGAAGAGUGCCCCCCAUGGUGAAUGUCACCCGCAGCGAGGCCUCAGAGGGCAACAUCACCGUGACAUGCAGGGCUUCCAGCUUCUAUCCCCGGAAUAUCACACUGACCUGGCGUCAGGAUGGGGUAUCUUUGAGCCACGACACCCAGCAGUGGGGGGAUGUCCUGCCUGAUGGGAAUGGAACCUACCAGACCUGGGUGGCCACCAGGAUUUGCCAAGGAGAGGAGCAGAGGUUCACCUGCUACAUGGAACACAGCGGGAAUCACAGCACUCACCCUGUGCCCUCUG